rnacentral:rRNA from 1 species
CACGUAGGGCGCGAGCGUUGUCCGGAAUUAUUGGGCGUAAAGAGCUCGUAGGCGGCCUGUUGCGUCCGCUGUGAAAGCCCGGGGCUUAACCCCGGGUCUGCAGUGGAUACGGGCAGGCUAGAGGUAGGUAGGGGAGAAUGGAAUUCCCGGUGUAGCGGUGAAAUUCGUAGAUAUCGGGAGGAACACCAGUGGCGAAGGCGGCGAUCUGGGAAGAUACUGACGCUGAGGUGCGAAAGCGUGGGGAGCAAACAGG